rnacentral:rRNA from 1 species
AUUGAACGCUGGCGGCAGGCUUAACACAUGCAAGUCGAGCGGGGAAGGGUAGCUUGCUACCUAACCUAGCGGCGGACGGGUGAGUAAUGCUUAGGAAUCUGCCAUUUAGUGGGGGACAACAUUCCGAAAGGAAUGCUAAUACCGCAUACGUCCUACGGGAGAGAGCAGGGGAUCUUCGGACCUUGCGCUAAAUGAUGAGCCUAAGUCGGAUUAGCUAGUUGGUGGGGUAAAGGCCUACCAAGGCGACGAUCUGUAGCGGGUCUGAGAGGAUGAUCCGCCACACUGGGACUGAGACACGGCCCAGACUCCGACGGGAGGCAGCAGUGGGGAAUAUUGGACAAUGGGCGAAAGCCUGAUCCAGCCAUGCCGCGUGUGUGAAGAAGGCCUUUUGGUUGUAAAGCACUUUAAGCGAGGAGGAGGCUACUAGUACUAAUACUACUGGAUAGUGGACGUUACUCGCAGAAUAAGCACCGGCUAACUCUGUGCCAGCCGCCGCAGUAA